CAGGCCAGAAGAGGCGCGUUGCCCAGGUAAAGGGUGUGGGAGGAACCAAUCCUGUGAAAACACCUGAGGGGGAGCAACGCCGAGAUGCGUGAACAACAGGUUGCGUUCACCAUCGGCUGCAGGGGCUGAAUCCCCUGGGUUGUCACCAGAAACGUUCGCAGUCGGGCGUUUCGCAAGUGGUGGAGCACUUCUGGGUGA
rfam:Kluyvera ascorbata ATCC 33433 GKAS.assembly.063, whole genome shotgun sequence.